AAAGAAAGAAAUCUUUUGUCAAAGAAAAAGUCAAAUCUUCAAUAUCUUCUAUUUGUACACCCCCCUCUGGUUUUGCUGGCGCUCCCCCCAUUAUUCUCUUUCUUUCUCUCUUCUCUCUUUUUUCUCUUUUUCUUAUUCUCUCUUUUCUUUUUUUUUAUGA
rnacentral:ribozyme from 13 species